AUGCACCUCCCGCUGCCUCCACCGCCCCUGCUGCUGCUUCUCGCGGCACUCGCGGCCGCCGUCACUACCUUCCGGCCCGACUGGAACCGUCUGCACGGCCUGGCCCGAGCCCGGGUAGAGACCUGUGGGGGAUGACAGCUGAAUCGCCUGAAGGAGGUGAAGGCCUUCGUCACCCAGGAUAUCCCUUUAUAUCACAACCUGGUAAUGAAACACCUUCCAGGGGCUGACCCAGAGCUCGUCCUGCUGGGCCACCGCUACGAAGAACUGGAGCGAAUCCCACUCAGCGAAAUGACCCGCGAGGAGAUCAAUGAGCUGGUGCAGGAGCUCGGCUUCUACCGCAAGGCGGCGCCCGACGAACCUGUUCCCCCUGAGUACCUACGGGCGCCGGCCAAGCCCGCCGAAGGCGCUCCGGACCGCCCUGACCUUUAGGUCCGGGGACGCGGGCCCACCUCCUCCCCCGCCUGAGCCCUGGGGACAGAAUGAAGCGCUCAGCGUCCCGGGAGCACCUCCCUCGCUGAGGGCCGACGCCUCGUCCCUGAGCCGGCAGAGAUGGAGUUGGGGUUUCCUCCUAACCCCUUUCUUCCCUACCCAGCUCAAUUAAAUCCUCUUCCGCCUUA